GAUGAACGCUGGCGGCGUGCCUAAUACAUGCAAGUCGAGCGAACGGACGAGAAGCUUGCUUCUCUGAUGUUAGCGGCGGACGGGUGAGUAACACGUGGAUAACCUACCUAUAAGACUGGGAUAACUUCGGGAAGCCGUAGCUAAUACCGGAUAAUAUUUUGAACCGCAUGGUUCAAAAGUGAAAGACGGUCUUGCUGUCACUUAUAGAUGGAUCCGCGCUGCAUUAGCUAGUUGGUAAGGUAACGGCUUACCAAGGCAACGAUGCAUAGCCGACCUGAGAGGGUGAUCAGCCACACUGGAACUGAGACACGGUCCAGACUCCUACGGGAGGCAGCAGUAGGGAAUCUUCCGCAAUGGGCGAAAGCCUGACGGAGCAACGCCGCGUGAGUGAUGAAGGUCUUCGGAUCGUAAAACUCUGUUAUUAGGGAAGAACAUAUGUGUAAGUAACUGUGCACAUCUUGACGGUACCUAAUCAGAAAGCCACGGCUAACUACGUG
rnacentral:rRNA from 1 species